AGUGAACGCUGGCGGUAGGCCUAACACAUGCAGGUCGAACGGCAGCACAGUAAGAGCUUGCUCUUACGGGUGGCGAGUGGCGGACGGGUGAGGAAUACAUCGGAAUCUACUUUUUCGUGGGGGAUAACGUAGGGAAACUUACGCUAAUGCCGCAUACGACCUACGGGUGAAAGCAGGGGAUCUUCGGAACUUGCGCGAUUGAAUGAGCCGAUGUCGGAUUAGCUAGUUGGCGGGGUAAAGGCCCACCAAGGCGACGAUCCGUAGCUGGUCUGAGAGGAUGAUCAGCCACACUGGAACUGAGACACGGUCCAGACUCCUACGGGAGGCAGCAGUGGGGAAUAUUGGACAAUGGGCGCAAGCCUGAUCCAGCCAUACCGCGUGGGUGAAGAAGGCCUUCGGGUUGUAAAGCCCUUUUGUUGGGAAAGAAAAGCAGCAGGUUAAUACCCCGCUGUUCUGACGGUACCCAAAGAAUAAGCACCGGCUAACUUCGUG
rnacentral:rRNA from 1 species